AGAAAGCAUUUGACAGGGUGGAUUGGGACUUUAUGUUCCACAACCUGUCAAAAUUUGGCCGAGGUGACUUUACCUCUAAGGCGAUAGCUGCUCUAUAUACAUCUCCAACUGCGUGAGUUAUGGGUCAAAACUUUCGGUCUGAAAGGUUUGUCAUCUCAAAUGGUACUAGGCAAGGUUGCCCACUGUCUCCACUAAUUUUUGCUUUGAUCAUUGAGCCACUGGCAUGUGCGAUAAUG